AAAAACGGCUGGGUUAUUUUUUAACCCAAAAUGUUGGGUUGAGUAUGUUGGGUCAUUUUUUUGGGUUAUUUUAUUUCUUUUUAAACACUUUUGGGUAGUUUCAAUUUACCAGGUGUUGGGUUAAACCUGCUGGGUUGCAUCGCUGGGUUGUUUCAGGCCAGCGCUGGGUUAUUUAACGCGCCUUGAAGAUGUUUAAAUCGCUCGCCAACUGUCAUUUUGGAAGAACAACGGGGCAAAGCCACGGCUUUCAACUGUUUUAAGAAAAGCACAUGGAUACAUUUGUGAGAGAAAAACUCGUCGAGUGCAGUCUUAUUGAGGCGUCUAACGGUUGGAACAAACAUGGAAUUCCUUAACCGAGCAGAGUCCACAAAACCCCAUACAAUUGUUGUGGCGAUUUAAAAAUGCCAGCAGAUCUCUCAGGCAUUGAUCAUAAUCAAUGGACAGGUCACCGUAGCCACCCAUAUCCAGUACGUAUCCAGAUGGUGGAUCAACACCUAGAAAGGACCUCUACAUCACUGAAAGACAGCGGAGACCAGGACAACUAGAGCCCCAGAUACAGAUCCCCUGUAAAGACCUUGUCUCAGAGGACCACCAGGACAAGACCACAGGAAACAGAUGAUUCUUCUGCACAAUCUGACUUUGCUGCAGCCUGGAAUUGAACUACAGGUUUCGUCUGGUCAGAGGAGAACUGGCCCCCCAACUGAGCCUGGUUUCUCCCAAGGUUUUUUUCUCCAUUCUGUCACCGAUGGAGUUUCGGUUCCUUGGUUUUCCUAAGUUGGGGACCAUUAAGAUCAAGCGAUAUCAUCGACUUGAUUGCACAGAGGAACGAUACAUCACUGAAUCAAUGAUGAACUGACUUUAACUGAAAACUGAGUGUUUACUUUUGUCCCUUUGCAUUAUUACACACUAUUUUCCUAUUUAAUACUGUUAAGCUGAUAUGAUGCAGUAUUUGAUCAAUAUGACAGGCUUAUUACUCAUAAUACAUGGAAAAUACAGCUGCAAAGGGACUUUGCUUUUCCAUUUGAAAUUUGGCAGUCACUGUGCAUUCAUGAAAACUGAAACAGUAAUUUUUGUUCAGUGUUUUUGAAACAGUGUUUUUAUUCAAUAUUUGCAAUUGUGUUUGGAUUAUGUCACAAUGUGUCUUUAUCUCAUUUCCUUUUCAAAAUUGUCCUUCCAUAGACAGGCUCUAUAACAGAGUACACUGCUCUCAGGUGUAGAUCUUUGCUUCAGAGCUUAAGUGUUUGACAAUAGUACACCCAAAAAUGAAAAUUGUCAUUAAUUAUUCACCCUGGUCUGAAACCUCUCGAAUUUCAAUUUGUGUUCUGAAGAUGAACGAAGGUCUUACAGGUUUGUAACGACAUGAAGUUGAGUAAUAAAUGACAGAAUUUUCAUUUUUGGGUGAACUAUAUGUUGAACUACCCUAAGCAGUGUACAUCUACCUACAUGGGAGUCUUUAUAUACUUGAUAUAAAUUUAAGGACAUCUUUAAAUGAUUUUACAUUUAAAUUU